AUAGGCCACUGAUGAUUCAACCAUAUUUUGCCUACAUUGCUUGAUUAUCCGCUUUUGGGUAAAUGUAAACGACUAUUGAUCUGAGGCCUUU
rfam:Morus notabilis contig23612, whole genome shotgun sequence.